rnacentral:rRNA from 1 species
GGUAAUACGGAGGGUCCGAGCGUUAUCCGGAAUUAUUGGGUUUAAAGGGUCCGUAGGCGGGCCGAUAAGUCAGGGGUGAAAGUCUGCCGCUCAACGGUAGAAUUGCCUUUGAUACUGUCGGUCUUGAGUUAUGGUGAAGUUGGCGGAAUAUGUAGUGUAGCGGUGAAAUGCAUAGAUAUUACAUAGAACACCGAUUGCGAAGGCAGCUGACUAACCAUCGACUGACGCUGAUGGACGAAAGCGUGGGGAGCGAACAGGAUUAGAUACCCUGGUAGUCCACGCCGUAAACGAUGGAUACUAGCUGUCCGGGUCCUUGAGACCUGGGCGGCCAAGCGAAAGUGAUAAGUAUCCCACCUGGGGAGUACGUUCGCAAGAAUGAAACUCAAAGGAAUUGACGGGGGCCCGCACAAGCGGUGGAGCAUGUGGUUUAAUUCGAUGAUACGCGAGGAACCUUACCAGGGCUUAAAUGCAUAUUGACAGGGUCAGAGAUGACUUUUCCUUCGGGCAAUUUGCAAGGUGCUGCAUGGUUGUCGUCAGCUCGUGCCGUGAGGUGUCAGGUUAAGUCCUAUAACGAGCGCAACCCCUACCGUUAGUUGCCAGCGAGUCAUGUCGGGGACUCUAACGGGACUGCCGGUGCAAACCGUGAGGAAGGUGGGGACGACGUCAAAUCAUCACGGCCCUUACGUCCUGGGCCACACACGUGCUACAAUGGCCGGUACAGCGGGAAGCCAUGCGGUAACGCAGAGCGGAUCCACAAAACCGGUCACAGUUCGGAUCGGGGUCUGCAACUCGACCCCGUGAAGCUGGAAUCGCUAGUAAUCGGAUAUCAGCCAUGAUCCGGUGAAUACGUUCCCGGGCCUUGUACACAC